AAGACACAACUUUAUUUUAACAUUGAGCUUUAUUCUAGUUGUUGAAGUAGAGCGACAAUUGUCGUUACGACUUGAUGCGAGAUAUGUCGUAGUGAAACGACGUUUUUUGUUGAAAAGUACAAGUGACAAGAAAGUGGAAUCAAGUCAUAAAAUAUAUAAUUUAAUUUUCGUUUUUUUUGUGAAAGUAUUUAUAAAUUUGAAGAAUUGGAAAUUUCAUGACAGAGAACGCCUUUUAAAGGUACUCGUUUUUCCCUCGAAUAUAUUCAGUAAAUAUAUAAAACCCUCCUUUAGAAGUCUGUAAUAGUUUAUAAAUCUGUGAAUAAAAUAAAAUGUUUGCAACUAAUUUACUAGAAAAAAUUUGGCAAAUCCUUUGGAUUAGAGCUGUCGCUAAUCUUAAAUCUUUCGAUCCUUAAUUGUUGUUUUUUUUUAAUUUCAUCACUACCGGAAUGAGAUGAAUUCGUAAACCAUAAUACAAAUGACAUUUUUUAUUAUUUAAAAAUAUAAAUAUAUACACUGAAAAUUUUUUUAGUUUGAGCUUUAAUCGCCGAAAUUUCUUUUUAAAAUGUAUCAAUUUCACUUGAAAGGUUUUAUUUUCGAUUAUAUCUCGCACUCACUUCACUCGACAACCAGAAUACCACAUUUCAAAUGAUGUGACAGCGACAACGACAAAUGUCACGUAAGUGACGCGACAACUAGAAUAAGGCUCAUUAAUUUAUUAUUUAAUAUAUUGUGUAAAAAAACAAUAUAUAAUUUAGUAAAAAUUUAAAUUUAAAUUAAAUUAAAACUAAUCAGUGAUAAAUGUUAGAUACACUUUAAAUUACUUCAAAUUCUUACUAACCGAUUUAGCAAAAUUGAAGUUAAUGUCUUUUUGUGGAAAGUUAAUACAAAGAAGCUCCCGUCAUUUAACAAAUAUUGUAGAAACACGUUCAGAGUUUUAGAAAUUGACACACUCAAGCGAAUUACCAAUAUCACAUAUAUUUGUAGCAAGUGAACAUCAAAUUUGGAUUAGUUGGAAAUAUUUUCCAGAACUGAAUCCAGUACUUAAAAAUCAAUCUCUGAUAAUUGGAGCGUUUACCACAGCACAUGCUAGAUUUUUGUUGCAUUACGAAAUGAGUAAAAUUGGAAAAAAUGCUCUUUAUUGCCAUACGGAUUCUAUGAUAUUUGUACAAAAUACUAAGAAUCGCGAAUGUAAUUUGGGAACAUGAAAUUUUUGGCAAGGUUUAACAAACGAAUUUUACGGAAAAAGUAUUUAUGGUACAGAACUUGUAUCGACUGGUUCUAAAAGAUUUACUAGUAUUAUAAUCCUGACACAAAGAAAUAUGAGUUAAAGUAACAACAAGGAAGCAAUUUGAAGAAUUGGGAAAUUUUAUGACGGAGAACGCCUUUAUUGCGAAAGGCCUUAAAUUUGCUGAAAAUAGCUGCAUAAGCAAAUGCGAGUUUGAUGCAAAAUGGAACCAGCUAACAGAAAAGCUUAAUAGCUUGGGUCGGCCCAUUAGAAGUACUGCAGGAUGGCAGAAGGUUUGGUGUGACUACAAAUUGAAGUUAAAAAAAAAAUUAGCGCACAACAAAAAGGAGUUAAAUUCAACUGGCGGUGGUUUAUUUAAAUAAGGGAAUCAUGAGAUGAUCCCGGAUCGCAAACCUUUAAGUCACAUUAUAUUAAAAUAUUUACAAAUAUUUAACAAGCAAUAUUAUACAUACCAACAUAACGUUUAAGCUAUGAUAACCUUUCCGGUUAUAAUAUAAAUGCUGAUGAUAUUUUGACGGAGUUAUAAUUCUAACGUGUGUUCCGUCUACUCAGCCGAUCACUCCAGGAAACCCAAAUUUUUCAUAGAAUGCUAAUUUAAUCUCAUUUCUUUCAUGCUCUUCUGGAAACUUUAUCAAACUGCUGCAAAUUUCAGCUUCUAAAGUUGUUAAAACUUCUUUUAAUAUUUUAGAGAACGUAGGCUGUGCUAAACCUGUAUAUAAAUCGUUAGCAACACCUUUUUGAUAGCUGCCCUCAGAUAGGAAGCGUAAAACAGCUCCUAAUUUAAUUAUAGGUGAGACUCCAAAACACCUUUUAGGGGUACUUGUUUUUCCCUCGAAUGUAUUUAGUAAAUAUAGAAAGGCCUCCUUUGAAAGUCUGUAAUAGCUUAUAAAUCUGUAAAUAAAAUAAAAUGUUUGUAACAAAUGUAUUUGAAAAAAUUAUUAUCUUACACUCCAUUUGGCAAAUCCAAUGGACUAGAGCUAUUCCUAAUCUUAAAUCUUUUGAUCCUUAAUUGUUGUUUUUUUUCAGUUUCAUCACUCUCGGAGUCUGAUGAAUCCGUAAACCAUAGUGCAAAUGACGACAUUUUUUAUUUCCCUCGUAUUUAUAAAAAUAAAUAUAUACACCGAAUUUUUUUUUUAGUUUGAACUUUACUCGCCAAAAUUUCUUUUUAAAAUGUAUCAAUUUCACUUGAAAUGUUUCAUUUUCGUUUAUUUCUCGCAGUCACGCCACUCGACACCUAGAAUACCACAUUUCAAAUGAUGUGACAACGACAACGACAAAUGUCACGUAAGUGACGCGACAACUAGAAUAAGGCUCAAAGUCAAUUAACGUGCAGACAGUCUGACGUAGUAAUUCAGUAAAUAAAUUUGAUGUAUUGAGUGACUAUCAUUACGUUAAAAAUAAUAUAAAAAAUAAUUUUUUUGUUAAUUUUUAAUAUGUAAGUAUAAAAUUAUUUUAAAUCUAAAAAAAUUUUUUUUUUGUUUUGACGUUUACGGAUGAUCAAAAUUCAAAGUCAAUUACGGGUAAAAAGUUUAAUACAUUUCUGUCCGUAAAAGUUUUAUACAUCAGACAGUUUGCAGACUGAAAACAAAAUUUUGACGUUAAAGAAUUUGCGGUAUAUCUUCAUGUUUUUGUAUAAUGUAUUGUAUAACUUGACUAUAGUGUAAUUGCAUAACUUGAUGUAUUUGUAUUUGUAUAUUUAGAUGUAAUAGUAUAAUAAAUAUCUUGAUGUAUUCAUUAAAAACAAAUAAAAUUUAAUUAC